rnacentral:rRNA from 1 species
GACCUCUGACCUCAAAUCAGGUAGGACUACCAAGUCC